rnacentral:rRNA from 1 species
CCUACGGGUGGCAGCAGUGGGGGAUAUUGCACAAUGGGGGAAACCCUGAUGCAGCGACGCCGCGUGUGGGAAGACGGUCUUCUGGAUUGUAAACCACUGUCCCCAGGGACGAAAAUGACGGUACCUGGGGAGGAAGCUCCGGCUAACUACGUGCCAGCAGCCGCGGUAAUACGUAGGGAGCAAGCGUUGUCCGGAAUUACUGGGUGUAAAGGGAGCGUAGGCGGGGAUGCAAGUUGGGUGUCAAAACUACCGGCUCAACCGAUAGUCGCACUCAAAACUGCAACUCUUGAGUGAAGUAGAGGCAGGCGGAAGUCCUAGUGUAGCGGUGAAAUGAGUAGAUAUUAGGAGGAACACCAGUGGCGAAGGCGGCCUGCUGGGCUUUUACUGACGCUGAGGCUCGAAAGUGUGGGGAGCAAACAGGAUUAGAUACCCUUGUAGUC